GUCGUGGCCUACAGCUUUACAACAAGAAGAAGGAGAUGGUCAAAGUCAAUCUUGAAAGGCUUGUGGUCCUUUGAAGUAGCUUCAGCAGUGUGUGUGAUGAGGCCACAACGUCAGAAAACGAGACAAUUCCGCGAAGUACAUGUAACUAAAGUAGUAGCAAGCUGGAUAGUCUCAACUACAGUGGAGCUCGCUGCUAGACAAGAACUGUCUUUGCCCACCAUUUCCACUCUAUUACCGUCGGAGGUAGGAACAAUUUUCAGUUGCCGUGAUCCAGUUGACGGUGCGUCCUUGUGCGUAACAGAACUUACAAUCCACAAUGGACAGUUACAAGAUUGCUUCCUCCUCCGUCACACAGUCUAAGGAUGUACGGCCACCAAGCGGUUAUCGUCUGUUAGCAAUUGCUUUUGCAAGCAUCACUGCUUUCUCCGCCUCAGCGCUAGCAUCCUGCAGCAAGUGUUAUUGCUCUCCCUUCACAGUGUCCUGCGCAAUGACCCCUGUGUCAAGUGUGACGAUAUUUCCAACCAGCAUCACAAUGUUGUUCCUUCAUGCAUCCGGUAUAUCCAUUGUCCAAGAUUAUGGAAGGUUUCCGGACUUAAUUCGCCU